AAUAGAAGACACUCAGUUGAAUUUGAACUUCAGAUAAACAAUGAAUUUUUUUAGAAUGAAUAUGUUCCAUGCAAUAUUUGGGACAUGCUUAUACUAAAAAAUGUUUGUUGUUUAUCUGAAAGUCAGGUUUAGUUGGGCAUCCUGUAAUUU
rnacentral:miRNA from 10 species